rnacentral:lncRNA from 1 species
GGUUGAUCACUUCUGAGGAUAUAUCCUGGUGUAUCACAUUAUUGUCCUGUUUUGAUAUAGAGACGAAGACAUAACAGCUGGGACACAGGAGGCCCAUCAAGAUCUUUUGGGUUGGUUUGGUGAUGAUGGUUGUUGCGUUGGAGGUGGUGGAUAAAUGAUGAACAGGGUUUGAGUGUUUGGUUGCAGAAGUUGAAAAGCCUACAAAGAUGGGUGAAAGAAUGGUGUUUUGAAUCAAAAGAAGAGAUAUAGUGGCUGGCGUUGACAACAGUCAGCGUUUGCGAAAAAAUCGAGGCCGAUGAUUUUGAAAUAACUUGGGUAUUCUAAGUCUCCGGUUCUCAUACCACCUAGGGUUAUGCCCUUGCUUCAUGAUUUAGCACAACAUAUGGUGCAUGCUGGUCACACU